rnacentral:vault_RNA from 1 species
GAGCCAUCUCAGCCCAGCAGUUCCAUCGACCAAAGCAUUGCUUAGAUCCCCUAAUUAUUAUAUUAUAAUCGCUUCCAGCGGUUUGAGACCCGCGGGCGCUGCCUGGCUAUAUU